rnacentral:rRNA from 1 species
GAUGAACGCUGGCGGCGUGCUUAACACAUGCAAGUCGAACGGAAAGGCCCAAGCUUGCUUGGGUACUCGAGUGGCGAACGGGUGAGUAACACGUGGGUGAUCUGCCCUGCACUUCGGGAUAAGCCUGGGAAACUGGGUCUAAUACCGGAUAGGACCACAUUUUGGAUGGUGUGGUGGAAAGUUUUUCGGUGUGGGAUGAGCUCGCGGCCUAUCAGCUUGUUGGUGGGGUAAUGGCCUACCAAGGCGUCGACGGGUAGCCGGCCUGAGAGGGUGUACGGCCACAUUGGGACUGAGAUACGGCCCAGACGCCUACGGGAGGCAGCAGUGGGGAAUAUUGCACAAUGGGCGCAAGCCUGAUGCAGCGACGCCGCGUGGGGGAUGACGGCCUUCGGGUUGUAAACUCCUUUCGCUAGGGACGAAGCGUUAUGUGACGGUACCCGGAGAAGAAGCACCGGCUAACUACGUG